rnacentral:misc_RNA from 1 species
AACGGUCUAUACCUGCGGUACCUGCGGAAGGAUCAUUAUUGAAUUUACUUGAUGGGUUUGUAGCUGGCCCUCGGGGCAUGUGCACGGCCUGUCUUGACUUUAUUCAUCCACCUGUGCACCUCUUGUAGUCUUUUGGGGGCUGAUGAGCAGUUAACUCAGUCGCAAGGCUGGAUGUGAGGACUGAUUGACCAUGUCUCGGUUUAAUCUCUCUUCUGUGCUGUGAUAUCUCCCUUGAAAGAC